GCUGGGAUAGCUCCGUUGCUACAGCAUGAGAUUCUUAAUCUCAGGGUUGUGGGUUGUGAGCCCCACCUUGGGCA